CAGAAUCUGUGGGUUCAGUGAGAUUUCUUUUCCUUGUCUCUGGUUCUCUGUCUGUGUGUUUCUCUCAGCUGCCUGACAUGAACUUGAAGAUCUGUCUCUCCAAAAUGUGUGUUCUAUUUGGGGAUUGUAUCACAUCUCCAUCCUUGCAAUAUGCAAAGGCUUCUUGCCUCUGAAAACCUGCUGGCUGAAAGGAAAAGGAGGAAUAUUCAGCACUGCAAGUCCUGAGAGAAGGGGAAUGUGUGGAUGGUCUUUUGGAUACAGUGUAUUGUGCAAGGAGAGAUCACUGUGCAGAGGGUUUGCAAUGUCUCUGUGAAUUUGCUAUUUGGUGAUGAAGAUUAGAUUGCAUUUCUCCAUCUCAAAAGGCUGUGUUGAUUGUGGAUUCAUGGUAUUGGGGAAGCUGUUCAAAUGCCUGGGAGAUUCUUUUUGCACAAACAAGGAUAACUGCUACUUGUGAGAGGUAAGAGCAUAUUCCUUUUCCUGCUGUACCCUUAGAUGUACAGAGCAAUGGAAAGAUUGCAUAACUUUGAAUUCCCAAUGUAAAUGCACAGAGGAUUGCUUAAACUUUACAAGCCAUUGCUUAAUCCCUUGUUUGUAAAAUAUUAUAAAAGCUGCAUUUAUGCCAAUGGUGCUUCACUGUCAUAGAUCGUUAUUUAAAGCUAAUUAAAGCUGGUAGUUAAACUGGAUUGAUCUCUGCUCGGUUCUGUGCCUGGAAAAUCAGCAAGAAGUUUGCUGGACAGCUCUGGGAAUGGGUUUUCUGAAUAUUACCAGGAGGGUGCUGGGGGCAGACUGGCAGCUGUCCUAAUAGAAAAUGACAGAAAAUGUGGGUGUAAUUGGCAUAGGGGGUGCUGACAUAUGCCAGAGAGAUGUACAAAAUGCUACAAGAGGGUGACAUGUAUUUACAAGUUCUAGGUAAAAUAAUGAUUAAAUACAAGGACCUAUAUAUAUAUUUAUAUGGUUUAUAUAGCUAAAAUGGGAGAGAGAGAGACAGGGGGAGAGAGUGAGAGCAGAUAGGAGAGAAUAAGAGAGACAUUGUAUAGAGAGAGACACACACACACACUUACAUAUUCACAUAUGCACAUGACAUUUGAAUGUAUAACUUUAUACUUAAUGCAUUUAUUGAUCUGCCUGAAGCUCCAAACACAGGGAUUGUGGUUCCCCAGUAGGAUGCACAGACCAGCUGUAAUCCUGCAGGGGUUUUCUGGUCAAUUGUGUUUAGUGUGAAAAGCAAUAUGACUGCACUCCACCUGUGUGUUAGCCCUCAGUACUGCAAACAGCCAGGUUAUGGGGCUGGGUAAGGAGUCAUUUCACAGGCAAAAAGAAAUGGCACUUUAAGUAUAAAUAAAAAUGGAACAAGGUAACUGUGAGCAAUGCAGUAAGGAGAGAGGUUAAACUGCAAACAUGGUGAAGGUUUGAUCAGAAUACCCAGACACAGAUGUGUGGCUCACAGAAUAGUGCUACAGUUAUGGUUUUAGUUAGAUAACUUGAGCUGCUGGAAAUACUGGGGCACACAGAUGGGGAGUCAUUUCUCCCAAUACACUGACUGCAAUAAUCUGAGAGUAACCCUUUCUGACAGCUGAGGGUGAUUGCUUUCAGUAUGUGUGUAGAGGAAUGCAAGGAAAGAACAGAGCACAGAAUCAUUUAAUGUAAAGAGGCAAGCAUUAACUCUCCAGCUGUUCAGGACUAGUCGUCACAGCAGUCUUGGGUGGAUGGCUGAGAUUGCUCGCAUUUCAAUCCUUCACAAUCUGAACUAUCUGGUAAAUAAAAUAAUCCUGUUUUUAAUCAAUAUUAGUAAGAGUAGGCUCUCAGGUGCAGAGGGAGUGGUUGUUGCCCCUUCCGUUGGUCUAAAACUGCCAUUGCUUUGAAUCCUUGCACCCUCUUUAUGCAGAUAUGAUAAUGUAAAGUAAAAACUAGCACACUCCCAAUCACUGCACAGGGAUAGGGUAACUAAUUGUGUGGCACACGCUGUGCCAGUGGCCAUGCAAGAUGUGCUUGCCAUCGUUCAGUUUUGCAGCCCUGCGUUUAACCCUUGCCGUGUGGCAUUUGUUCUUAUUUCUAGCAUUUAAAGGAUUUAACAAAAAUAUAAUGCGAUAUUUUGAAAUGUGAUCUUUUUUCUUUCUUUUUUUUUAACCGAUGCCUCUGUGUCCAUUUUUUCUACAUUAUAUUUAUGUUUUCUCUCCCGUAGCUGGAAUAUGGAGUUGCCAGGGUACAGAAUGUAGGGUAAUGCCAACUUAAAAGCCAAAUCCCCUUGUUUACAAACAGAAUCCUAUAUUGUUUUUAUUACUGAGCAAUGCUUUGAAUGCACGCUGGACUUAUCUCAGGUCUCUGCCUAUGCUGGUACAGCUCCGGGUCAGCCUGUAUACAAAACAUCCUUUGCACUAUAAUUCCAGUGUGAACUUGUGUUAUUUGUGUUAGUUUAUUUAUCUCGAUAUCAUCUUCAUUUUUCAUAUUGGUUAAUUUUAUAGUAUAUUUAGUGUUUGUAUCAUAAGGGAACACACAUAUUUGAUUGUUACCAGAAUUUAUUUAUUCUUUUUAUAAAACUAAGAGAGAAACUGUACCUUUUUAGCAAUGCAACAUUAAAAAGGCUGGGCAUAGCUACCUAGUUGUGUCGCACACAAGCUCGGUUUGAGCAUAUUGUAGGAUCACGUCUUCCUGUUAACUGAUUGAUCGCUCUGGAGGGUCGGAUGUCCUUGAUGAAGUGAAAGUUUUAAUAUAAGUGAAUGUUUCUCCAUCUAUUGACCUGAUUUUGCCAUGAGCAUUUUGACACUUAGACAAUCCCCUGGGGGAUAUUCUUCAAUAAUAAAUAACCACAAUAUGAUGUGUUGGUUUUAUUUUCAGUUAUAUUAAUUGCAUUUUCAUCCUGAAUACAUUAGCAUAAAUUUGUUGAUGGCAAUAAAUGUAGAGAAUGUUUUUGAAUGGAAAAUAACUUUUACUAAUUGUGACUAUAACCAAUUAUACGUAUACCUGCCCAUAUUUUGCAAGGGAUGGAGGUGUGGGAUGCUAUUUCAGAACUGCUGGAUGGCUUGGAAUUAUGGGGAUUGUAGUGCAACCACAGUUGGAGUGCUCACAUUAGAUUUCACUGUUUUUACAAUAAAAUGACUACUGUUAUAGUUAAAGAAAAAAAUUAAAUGAAAACAAAAAACAGUAUGCUAUUUCAUCUUCUCUGGACCACUUGCUCCAAUGUUCCUAAUACAAUUGUCUCUGUAUGAUUCAACACACAGCAUGACUGUAGACAUGCAGCCGGAACGGAUUUCAAAGGGUGUGUUUAGAAAUGACAAAUGAGCCUGUUGUUUUAUUCUAUGCCUUUAAAAUCUCCUUGUCCAAACUAGACUGGUGCAGAAAUCAUUUUCCUGCAAGAUCCUCAUUUACUGCAAAGACUCAGAUAAUCUGGCAUUCGUUGUAACAUACAUAAUGUUUACACCCUGCCUCUAUUCUGUGACUCCCUCUAGUGAAAUUUUCAAACCACAAGUGCUGUCAUUGUACAAGACUAGAAGCAAUGCAUCUGCAAUUCUGGGGACACACAGCAUCAGCUAGAUUUUAUAAUGCAUUACAACAAAAGGUUAAGAAAUAAAACAACCUCGUAGCUCCUGGACACUUAAAUCUUAUUACAUUAUUCUGCCUUUAUUGGACAUUUACAAAUUCCAGAGUUUUAUUUUGCAUUUGCCUAUACUGUGUGAUAAUUGUGUUUUAUUUUCCUAAUCCUAAAUGUUGUCUAUAAAGUUUUGAUUAUCACAAUUAGCACAUAAUUAAAUUACAUUUCUACGCUAAAUUUAAAUUACAUUUUAUAGUCAAAGGAUACAAUGUCUCUGAAAAUAGAAAAGAUUAUGUUUGCAUUUACCAGUGCUUUCAUGCUUUUUUAUGUAUACGCGAUAAACAAAAUGCAUCUUUUUGAAAACAGAUAUUUUUACUAUUUUUAUGCCAAAACAGGUGAAAUAUUAAUUUAGACUUUUUGUAUGGUCAGUGAUUUUAGAGGAAAAGAGGUCAUAGCAAUAGACCUCCUGUCUAUCUUUACUUUGAAGUUAGAAGAUAGAAUUUAUUUAUUUGCUUCCUAGUAAAUUCUGAUCCGAUAAUAUAUUUUUAUUAAAUACUACAAUAAAACCAGAUUGAGGCUAUAGGCACAUAACUCCCAGAGCUGCGAUAAGACUGGUGCAUUAGAGUAUAGUAGAGUUUAUAUUGCACGAUGUCCCAUGCAAUAUGGGUUUUUAAAAAAGUCCUGCACAUUAUAUGUACCCCAGGUCUAGUAUCUAUGUUGGUAAAGUAAAAGGUACACCCUACAUACCAUCACACAUUAUUUACAUUUUUUUUAAAGAUCUUGACCUAAAUAAUUGCCUGUAUUUUGCAUAAAAAUAUUUUUUUUGCAUUCUGCAUCUAAACCCCGCCUCCUCUGUUCCGCCUUCUUCUCUCCAAAAUACUUCCUUCUUGCUGGUUCCCGUACCGGGGGUACAGCUCCCUUUCAGUCCCUAUUUCACAGCCUUCAGUAGCCAAUAACGGAGGUUAUCGCAAGUUACUUUAUAUAUAUGACAUCAGUGAAUAAACAAAAGCUGAGGAUGUGAACAGACAGCUUUGAUAUGUGCUUAUCAUCCCUCCCCUGCACUUUAACCCUUUUAUUGCUGGGCUAAACAUGUCAUAUAAUCCAGACUCAGUCGACUGGUAUGAGAGGCUUAUGAUUGUGUUGAGAUUACCUGGAAAGGGCUAAGCUUAAACAAAAUUAGGAGAUUUUAGAGUGUUUUUUUUUACUUUUAUUAUUUUGGAUUGGUAGUUUUUGCAUAGCUUACUGCAUUAUCUGUUAUAUUAUUUAUUUAAGAAAUAUUUUACCACGGAGGAUGCUUUGAGUUUUCUCUUGUUUUCAUGUAUGUCCUUGGCCCACAAACAUUCUAUGUGAGAUCCACGUUUCUACCUUUGUGAGCUGGUCAAACAGUGGUGGAUUUGGUUUGCUAGCGUAGCUUAAAGUGUUGUCUGCGUAGAUGUGUACAGUUGAGGCUUUGCAUGACAUUAGGCAGACCAUUUAUGAAUAAUGUGACAAGUAGGGGGCUGGCUUUGGAGCCUUUGAAAUUAACACACAUGACAGGGAAAGGGAGGAAGGUGCUAUCAGAAAUGGUCACAUAUUGCAAUCGAUCCGAUUACCAAUAUCUGAGUUUUAAAAUCUUUGCAUCAGACUACCUUGGUCUACUGUGUCAAAUGCCUUGGUAAAAUUAAGGAAAAUAUCUCCAGUUAGGUCUCCUUGUUCCAUAUCAGCUUGGAUGUCAUUGAAAAUUUGUGAGUGAUUUGGACAGAAGCCUGAUUGAUCAGGGGUCAGAUAGUUAGAUUGUUGGGAUAAUACUCACAUCGUUGCGUAUGGACACGGUUUCUUAAUUUUUGACAAUACUGAGAGUAAUGAUAUUGGACGGUAGUUAGAUACCAAAGUAUCAUCACCACUUUUAUGGAUAGGAACUACUCUAGCAGUCUUCCAAAAUUUGGGUAUGUAUCCAGACACCAAUACGCAUUAAAUAAAGAACAUCUAAUUUCCUCUCCGGAGGAUAGUGACUUGAUAAGCUCUAAAAUGACUUCAAUAGAGAGAUAAUGUUUAGCAACCCACACAAUUGCUUUAAAAAGAAACAGUUCUGUUUGGAUUGACAAUAAUGGGAAAUCAUUUCAAAUCACAAGGAGUGCUGGACAUUAUCUUUAUAUUGGAUUCUAUACUGUCCCUGAGUUUAGGUGGGUGUUCUCCCCUCCCUUGCUAUUUACUAAAAUUACUGCAAGCUCAGAAAAUUCAAAUUGUACUCAAAUAAGAAUUGAUGUUGUUUUCAUGAGAAAGUAAUUUAAAAAUGUAAUUAAUGGUAACAUUUUAAGGGUUUAAAACAAUAAUUUAAGUUUUAAACUGUUUAUAAAAUAUUGAUUAAUACAAUGCACAGCAAUGCCAAAUGUAACAUACAAAAUGACACAAUGGCCCUUAAAAAAUGCACUCAGCACUUUAUUCUAUUGGUUUCCAUGGUGAUUGCAUCAUGUUUGUAUCAUUUUACAACUCAAGUAGUUUUUUUUAUACUGCUUUUACUAAAUCCCACGGUUUAUGUGGCUUCAACUUCGUGUUCUUUUAAGUUAUGUCGUUUGGAAGCUAUACCCGGAAACCCUUUAGCUUAUGUCAAAAAAAAGUGAAACAUAAUGAAAAACACAAACAUUAACCUAAAUACAAAUAGUGAGGCGCUUAUGUAAAAGGUAACAAUUUACCUCGUAUGACCUGAUGUAACAGAGAUGUGUCAAAUCAGAAGUCUUUAAAUAUCAUUGGUAUACAAGUUCUAAAGGUACUAAAGAAACAAUGUGCAUAGUGUAAAUCGUAUAUUAUACUGGAUAUAACUUAUAAAGUGAUACAAAGCACUCACAAACGUGGAGCUAUAAACCCAGCUCCGGUGUGGAUGGCUGCGGGUCCGUUUGGGCGACUCCCCCCCUUUAACACUGGUUAGGUGGUCUUUCCUAGGGUUGGUGAAAAAUAAAGCCACAGUAGCAUAGCACUGUUAUAGCAUUUUAAUAGAAAGUUGUAAGUAAAAUUUAUACUUACAAACCCAGAGCCCCUGUGGCUCUAUAGUAGCAUGCUUUGCAGUUUGGGACUGCCUUCAUCAUCUUUCCACUUCCUACAUAUGUCCUUAGGUCGGGAUUCAUCAUUUUGCCAAUUAGUCAGUCCUAACAGUUGUGUUGUUUCAGAGAUAACUAACACUGCUGCUAUGCAGAGUCCUGGAUACAUAGUUACAAAAAGAUAACAUUUCAAAUUACAAAAAUGAAAUAUAAAAAUGUGCAUUAUAUGAAUGGCUAAGGGUAUUUGACUAGCAAAAUAACUUAUGAAGGGGGUGUAUUGCUAAUUGUAUGGAUAUGUAUAUUGAUCAUCACUUUCUAAAGCUAUUUAGUUAAAAUAAAAACACAGUAUGUUAGGAUUUUGUAAUAUUCUGGGCACACUGUCCAGAGUUCCAGAAUUUUCCAAACAAAGAGCAGAUGCCUUAUCACAUGACUCAGCAACUGUCUCUCGGCUAGCCUGUGCUCCAGGGUGGGCUAAUGUCUUCUAUUUUUGAGUAGCUCACAUGUAUGAAACGUGCAUGUCACUUGGUAAGCCGGUUUUUGUAUGAAUAUAAUAGCUGGGGUGUUUUGAAGCUUUGCCAGAAGCCCUAACUGUGGGUGUACGCGCUACACAGUGAUUUUCCUGACUAACCUGGGUUUCCAGUGGCAAGGCUGAAGUGGGGCUUCCCAGCCAUGGUAGUUGCCUGGAUGUAUUUCUACAAUAGAUUAAUCGGUGAUGUAUUGCUUUGUUCUUGUAAAAAUCUUGUAAUAAGAAUAAUUAUACUAUAUUAUCUUCAUUAACUUGCAAUGAUAAAUAGUAUACUGUUUUGUCCUUAAUAAAUUCACUUUUAUUAUUUAACCCACUCAGUUGUUGACAUAUCCUGCAUCCUUGAAUCUUAUGAAUUAAAAGCAAGACAGGAAUCUGGGGGAUAUUAAUGUUUUUAUUUUACAUCAGGCAGUUGUAUCUCAAAGCAGCUAUCUAUUAUAAAAACAAGGAUUAGUAGUGUAGGGCUCGCACAGGCUACUUAUAAGGAGGUGUUGAUGCCCCUCAGGUGACCAUCAGGAUGGUUUGUUGGGGAUCAAAACUUUGCUGCUCACCACUCUACUAGUUAAACAGUACGGUAUGAUCUCAUUGGAAGCGUAAAGCAUGUGGUUGUUUCCAACUAUGAUUUCAUUGGGAUCGUGGAGACCAUUAGCAGUUCGCUGUUUAUGGGUAGAGAAGAAAGGACAUAACAUAGAAAUGCACUAAUAUGUAGUGACAUAUCCCCAGCUCUCUGUAAGUGUAGGGGUCAUUAAGUUUUCUUUUUCCAACUCUCUGUAAGCGUAGGGGUCAUUGAGUUUUCUUUUCCCCCUGAUACAAAGAUUCUAUAGUUGCUUUAUGGAACAAUAAUUUGGUCCAAAAUCCAUCUAACUUACUACACACAACAUUCUUGCAAUUGUCAGAGAGUAUUAAACAUAAUCCCUCAUUUGUUUCUACCAUUUAAGCUUGGAAACCUACAAGAUGCCAAUGUAACCUUCACUGGUAAUCUGAUUCAUUUCAAAUGGUUACUUCCACAAUAAUCUCCUCGCCCAAUCCUGGCACACGUGCUCCAUACCUCUGUUGCAGCUACAGAAAAAGUUCCCUUCAUUUCAAUUUCCUCUUUUCACUUAUUGGCAAAUUUUAAAAUAUAUAAACACGACUUUAACUCAGCUACAAGACACUGGCUGUACUCACUCAUUAGACUUCAUUAUUUUGCUCACUAUUCUAUCUAACUUACUCUACAGUUGUAUUCAAACAGUACUGGAUCAUUCUAUUCCAACCAGUCUAACACACAAAUGGGCAAUAUAACUCCCCUCCCUCUGGUCCGAGUCUGAUCACAUUCUCACAACAACGAACAAAUUACUUCCAGAUUCCCAGGAACAAGAGACGCACAGGCGGAUAGCACUGUAUCAAAAAGAUAUAAAAUGAAAACUGUAAAAAGCUAUUUCAAUAAAUAUGUAAAUUUGUGUUAAAAAAAAUGUGCAUGCAAGAACUUAGCUGCGUAUACACUCCUUGUGACCCUCCUGACACAACAAAAGAUAUAAAAAUUAUAAAUAGCAAGUGAAGCGCUUAUGUAAACCAUGCAACAUAUACAAAGUUGCGAUUAAAUAAUAUUUAAGGUGAUGACAGUGUAAAUAGUGCCCCAUAUCUAAUACAGCAAAUCACAGCAAUUUGUGUUAUCCCUUAAAAAAAAAUGUAAAAGCCAGUGUGAAAUAACUACUGUAGUGUAAUACAUAUAACAAUGAAAUUAUCCCAAGAAAGAUGUGUGUAAAACGCAAACUAAAUGCACACAAUAUGACCAGUUGUUUUUAUUCCUUCAAGUCAACAACAAACUUUUGACCUCAAAGGCAAAAAUAGAAAAACAUAAAAUAGUGCAGACAGACCAAUAAUACAACCAAGAUGUGUAAUAAAGCUGUAAAGCUCUAGAGGAAAUAGCCACACUCUGGCUCUGGAAUAUAAGCAGUGGAGUCUAAAAUAGGUGACCCCCCACCCCCCGAGAUUUUUUAUAUACAGGUAUGUUGUCCCCCUUGAAUAACCUUGAAUGUAUUUCAGCUUCAGUUGCAUUGAUUUAACAAAACAUUUGUAGUCAUCAUGUAUAUAUAAAUAUAUUUAUUUUUACAUAUCUUUAUCUUAUAAGAACUAUUAACAUGCAUCUGUGCGUAUGUAAGAGUCUGUAAAGGUGUGAGCUUGCACCAUUUGUAUUAUAUAAGAGAAUAAAAUUAAACUUCUGGAUUGAAAUAUCCUUCUUUGCCACCUUGGACAAUGCAUUACUGGAGCAAUGCAGUAUGUAGAUCAGGAAGGUCAUAGUCUAACAAUAACUCAUAGUUACAUUGUUAAAUAGUAAUACAGGCUGGAAAAUGCACAAGUCCAUCAUGUUCAGCCUUUCACAAAUCUAUAUUGCUGCUGCUGCUGAUCCAAAAGAAAGUGAAAAGCCAAUGUCAAGCAAUUUCCAAUUUUGUCACAAAUUGGAAAGAAAUUCCAUCUUGACUUCAAAAUGGAAGUCAGAUUUCUCACUGGAUCAACAAACUGUUACGCCAUAUAUAUCUAUUAUAUCCCUGACUCUCUAUGAAAUCACUUCUUGCCUGUCACAUUGACCAUCGUCACUGGUCUGCUCUAACCUCUGAUCAGAAGACUUGGAGACACACCAUUCAUCAGGCUGUCUUCUCCAUCGAGAACACACACAGGACAGAUAUUUAGAAUAAAAAGAAACAGAGGAAGGACUUUGACAUUCUGGCAUCAAAGUCAGACCAUAUUUUCCUUUGCAGCAGCUGCGGCCGUAUCUGCCUUUCCCACAUUCGCCACCAGCGUGUCUGCAGCAGACACGGACAACCCACUUGCUUUGUUUAUGAAGUCAAGCCAAACACUAUUCCUAAAUAUUUUAUGGGUUUUUUUCUAGAAAAGCUUACAGAUAUGUUUUAAUAGUAUGAAGAGAAUCUGAUAAAACAACAUAUGUAGGGGGAGAAUUCUAAACCCUUUCCUCUGCAGUACCUGAAAUCUCAUUUUUAAAAGUCUAAAUGGGUGACCUUUGUCCUUUAUCCUUUUUACAUUUCUAUUAAUAUCCUGGCUGCAGCAUUCUGUGCCCAAUCGAAAUAGUAUAAUUCUGCUUUGCAGUUCAAGAGACAAAUAUAUCCUGUUCAAAGAUUAAAAAAAAAAAAAAUAAUAAUCUAGAAAUAAGAUGUUUUCUUUUCCUUUCUGCAUUGUUUAGGUGAUGUUUUAGGAUGACCACCAUGAUUUUGCAUGCUUUAUAAUUUUACUACUCCAAGAACAAAUUAUUACUGUGUUUUACAUAUCCCAAAAAUGUGUGUUACAGAGUACCUCUUUCUCUCCAUACUUUACCUUUCAUCAGCUGACCUCCAUCAGCUCUUGGACUUUAUCUAGACAACUACAGGGAACAAAUUACUCUUUGAUGUCUGGAACAAAGGACAAGUAUACUCUUAUGAAAGUAAUUUAAAUUAUCUGACUAAAUUCACAUUUUUGAACUGAAAAGUAUUUUACAUAGAUCUGAUAGAGGUAAUAUGUUGACACUAUAUAAAUGGCAAUAACAAUAGUCAUUCAAUAUAUAUAUAAUAUAAAACAUAUCAAUAUAUUAAAAAAGGAUAAGCUUAAUGGAUCUAUACUCUGAAUACUCACAUUAAUUUUAAAUAAAUUUAGUUGAAAAACAACUCAUAUGUUUGAUCAAGACAUGUUUAUUUAUCUAUUUUGUUGACUAUACUACACCAUAUUGGUCUCUUUUUCUUUACCGGAGGUUACAUCUCUAUGAA